GGUUAAGUCAGGCAACGAGCAAGACCCGUGCCCACAGUUGCCAGCAUACCCUCCGGGGUGAUGGGCACACUGUGGGGACCGCCGCUGCUAAAGCGGAGGAAGGUGCGGGCUACGGUAGGUCAGUAUGCCCCGAAUCAUCCGGGCUACACGCGGGCUACAAUGGUUGGGACAAUGGGCACCUACACCGAGAGGUGAUGGUAAUCUCCUAAACCCAGCCUUAGUUCGGAUUGAGGGCUGCAACUCGCCCUCAUGAAGCCGGAAUCCGUAGUAAUCGCGUAUCAAUAUCACGCGGUGAAUACGUCCCUGCUCCUUGCACA
rnacentral:rRNA from 1 species